rnacentral:lncRNA from 1 species
GUUCUGCACAAGCACAGCAUGGGGCAGGUGGAAGUGCUGCAGAAAUAUUAAUUGGUAAGGACUGCAGAUGUUCUUGCUGCUUUCUGAGUGUUUCAGGACACCACACAACAUGCUGUGCGUAAGAGAAGCUCUUCUGGCAGCACAGUCCAAUUUGGAUGUCACUUUAUUGUGUAGCUUCUGAUAUUACGAUCAGUUUGCAAACUAUUUUCAAGAGUGUUGGUGCAUUUAGCUCUGAUAAUGAAAUCUGCACAUUGCUUGGAGAGACAGCAUGGGGCAUGUAAGCUGUUUAUUCCUUACUGAGGGAAGAGGCACCUGGCUAUGCGCUACCUAUUCACAUAAAGAUGGUUCUGUUUUCUUCCUGCAGUCGACAUGUUUUCUUCUAGCUUCCCCACAACAGCGGUAAGGGGCUGGAGCAACUGCAAACUGUGCUUCUAUGGGAGACAAUUUUUUGUACAUGCUCAGAGCUUGUCAUGAGCUCAGACAAUGAGUCUGUUAAACACAGGAUCAUUGGUAUUAUUCCUGCUCACAUCACACACAGCAGCCACCAUCCUUGAUGUACGUGCUUUGGUGCUGCUGUUGCUGGAGAAAUAAGUACUGUCUUUAGGAGAGGGAACAGAAAGGUGGCAGCACUAUGUGUUUUGGGGCCUUGCUCAGUGGGCUGUGAGGAACCCACAGGCACCAUGACCCAGAAGAAGAGAGCACAUCCUGAUAGGAUGCCCAUGUUCCAGUGAGAUAAUCUUGUGUGACCUUGAGUACACUGGCAGGUCCUGUCCAUGUAGGCUUU